GAUGAAGAACGCAGCGAAAUGCGAUACGUAAUGUGAAUUGCAGAAUUCAGUGAAUCAUCGAGUCUUUGAACGCACAUUGCGCCCCCUGGUAUUCCGGGGGGCAUGCCUGUCCGAGCGUCAUUGCUGCCCUCAAGCACGGCUUGUGUGUUGGGCCUCCGUCCUCCUCCCGGGGGACGGGCCCGAAAGGCAGCGGCGGCACCGCGUCCGGUCCUCGAGCGUAUGGGGCUUCGUCACCCGCUCUUGUAGGCCCGGCCGGCGCUUGCCGACACAUCAAUCUUUUUUCCAGGUUGACCUCAAAUCAGGUAGGAUUACCCGCUGAACUUAAGCAUAUCAAUAAGCGGAGGA
rnacentral:misc_RNA from 1 species